GACAGAGGUGCCAAGCGUUUAGGCGGAAUCACUGGGCUUAAAGCGUGUGUAGGCGGACUUGUAAGUACCUUGUGAAAUCCCACGGCUCAACCGUGGAACUGCUUGGUAUACUGCUUGUCUUGAGCCACUUAGGGGCUACCGGAACAAAUGGGUGGAGCGGUGAAAUGCGUAGAUAUCAUUUGGAACGCCAAUGGUGAAAACAGGUAGCUGGGAGUGUGCUGACGCUGAGACACGAAAGCCAGGGGAGCGAACGGG
rnacentral:rRNA from 1 species